UUUUGUUCCACAUGUCUGUGAAGAUCUGGACUGACGCCAGGAUGAGUCAGGGCCUUGAAUUCACACACUGGCAUAAGAGUUUCCUCUUUUACAGCACACAGUGCCCACAGGAGUGUGAUAAGGUCAUAGACUUAAUUCUGGCGUGAAGGACAGCUGCCAGCGAACAAUAAAGCCGUCCGGGGCCAAGCUGCCACCUGGGCCAGAUGAGGAAAGCUGAGCUGAGCAGAUAAGCCUUGGGGUUUUGACUGAGUUAACGCAGUGAAACCUGGCGACAAGAUUGUCAAGGUUCAUGUAAUACUGGUUGCUAUCCUACAGCUGGACACAAUACUUUAAUACUGAACAAUGUGGAGAACAACAAAUUGGGACAAUCCAACAACAGAAAAUCGUCUUAAACUUUGGGCUCCGCCAUACGGUGCAAAGCAUUGCCAUUAAAACAUUUUGCAAGCUUACAGCACAUUCAGAGCAUAGGUGCUGACAAAAUAGUGCUGCAUUCUCUAAGGGAAAAACAACCUACAAGAGCAAUCAACCAGAUAGUGCAUUAAAUUGUGCUGGGUCACUUUGCCGCAUUGCUCUAUCUAAACUCAGUGUUCCAAAGCCACGAUUGUUCCUGCGGCAAAAACACGAGGGAAUUCUUUAACAUAAAAAUACUAACCUCAGUGUACUCUGUGCAAGAGUGACCAACUUGUUCUCCAUAUAUUUUACGCUAUCUGUUUUUUGUCUUUGGGAUAGCAUUUGUGCCUCUUAGAAUGUAUAAUAUGAGAAAAUAUGUAAAGUUCUCAUGUGGUUUUACAAGAACCCUAUACUAAAUAAUUGUAGUAUAUUGGUUCAAACCGAGGAUAAGCCCGCUGAUUUCGUUAGCCUUACCUGUGAGAAUUCUCUACACUCUGAUUCUUCUCUAUGCUGCAAAGAAGAAGUAUGAAAUAAAGUCAAGAAUACAUGCAAAGGAUGAGAUCAUGAUUCUGUUUGUGUUUGGCGACAGUAAUACAAUGGUUCUUAGUCUCAGCCUCGCUAAGGAAAAAAGUUGCCCUCUUGGUUUGGCUGACAGAAUGCACCCAUAUUUUAUAGCUGUUAAUACUGCGAGGAGUGAGGUGAUUAAUAGCCAGUUUUGCAUUUAGAUUGAA